AGCUUUGUGCAGUGGCAGUAUUGUAGCCAAUGAGGUUUAUCUGAGGCGCGAUUAUUGGUAAUUGAAAAUUUUUCCCAAUACCCUGCCGUGACGACUUGAAAUAUAAUCGGCAUUGGCAAUUUUUGGCAGUCUCUAUGGAGA
rnacentral:snRNA from 1 species